rnacentral:rRNA from 1 species
CCUACGGGGGGCAGCAGUGGGGAAUAUUGCACAAUGGGGGAAACCCUGAUGCAGCGACGCCGCGUGAAGGAAGAAGUAUUUCGGUAUGUAAACUUCUAUCAGCAGGGAAGAAAAUGACGGUACCUGACUAAGAAGCCCCGGCUAACUACGUGCCAGCAGCCGCGGUAAUACGUAGGGGGCAAGCGUUAUCCGGAUUUACUGGGUGUAAAGGGAGCGUAGGCGGUUUAGCAAGUCAGAAGUGAAAGCCCGGGGCUCAACUCCGGGACUGCUUUUGAAACUGUUGAACUAGAUUGCAGGAGAGGUAAGUGGAAUUCCUAGUGUAGCGGUGAAAUGCGUAGAUAUUAGGAGGAACACCGGUGGCGAAGGCGGCUUGCUGGACGGUAACUGACGUUGAGGCUCGAAAGCGUGGGGAGCAAACAGGAUUAGAUACCCUUGUAGUC